rnacentral:rRNA from 1 species
UACAGAGGGUGCAAACGUUGUUCGGAUUUACUGGGCGUAAAGCGCGUGUAGGCGGCUUCGUAAGUUGGAUGUGAAAUCCCACGGCUCAACCGUGGACGUGCAUCCAAAACUACGUCGCUGGAGUCUCGGAGAGGAAGGUGGAAUGCUUGGUGUAGAGGUGAAAUUCGUAGAUAUUCGCAAGAACACCAGUGGCGAAGGCGGCUCACUGGCCCGGUACUGACGCUGAGGUGCGAAAGCGUGGGGAGCAAACAGGG